UUGCCUACGGGGCGCAGCAGUGAGGAAUAUUGGUCAAUGGGCGGAAGCCUGAACCAGCCAAGUCGCGUGAGGGAAGAAGGCCCUGCGGGUCGCAGACCUCUUUGGACGGGGAGCAAGGCCGCCGACGUGUCGGCGGAAGGAGAGUACCCGUAGAACAAGCAUCGGCUAACUCCGUGCCAGCAGCCGCGGUAAUACGGAGGAUGCGGGCGUUCUCCGGAUUUAUUGGGUUUAAAGGGUGCGCAGGCGGCACGGCAAGCCGGCGGUCAAAUCGCGGGGCUCAACCCCGCCCCGCCGUCUGCACUUCC
rnacentral:rRNA from 1 species